rnacentral:rRNA from 1 species
ACCUACGGCCAUACAAGUCUGAAAGUGCCUGAUCUCGUCAGAUCUUAGAAGUCAUACAGACUUGGGCUUGCUUAGUACUUGUAUGGGAGACCAACCUUCUGAACCUCAGGUGCCGUAAGGU